rfam:Danio rerio chromosome 20, GRCz11 reference primary assembly.
UAUUUGCAUAUUUGUAAGUUGCUUUGGAUAAAAGCAUCUUCUAAAUGACUAAAU